rnacentral:rRNA from 1 species
GUGCCAGCCGCGGCGGUAAUACGUAGGUGGCAAGCGUUGUCCGGAUUUAUUGGGCGUAAAGCGAGCGCAGGCGGUUUCUUAAGUCUGAUGUGAAAGCCCCCGGCUCAACCGGGGAGGGUCAUUGGAAACUGGGAGACUUGAGUGCAGAAGAGGAGAGUGGAAUUCCAUGUGUAGCGGUGAAAUGCGUAGAUAUAUGGAGGAACACCAGUGGCGAAGGCGGCUCUCUGGUCUGUAACUGACGCUGAGGCUCGAAAGCGUGGGGAGCGAACAGGAUUAGAUACCCUGGUAGUCCACGCCGUAAACGAUGAGUGCUAAGUGUUGGAGGUUUCCGCCUUCAGUGCUGCAGCAAACGCAUUAAGCACUCCGCCUGGGGAGUACGACCGCAAGGUUGAAACUCAAAGGAAUUGACGGGGCCCGCGACAAGCGGUGGAGCAUGUGGUUUAAUCGAAGCAACGCGAAGACCUUACAGGUCUUGACAUCCUUUGACCACUCUAGAGAUAGAGCUU